rnacentral:rRNA from 1 species
CAUGAAGCUGGAAUUGCUAGUAAUGGCAGGUCAGCAUACUGCCGUGAAUAGUUCCCGGGCCUUGUACACACCGCCCGUCACACCAUGAGAGUUGGAAAUACCCGAAGCCUGUGAGCUAACAAACGAGGCAGCAGUCGAAGGUAGAGCCAAUGAUUGGGGUGAAGUCGUAACAAGGUACC